rnacentral:rRNA from 1 species
AACGCUGCGGGCUUGGUGUUGGGGGUCCUUAGUGGGCGCCCAGUGCCGGAGAGAAGUUGUUAAGCCUGCUGCUUGGGGAGUAUGUCCGCAAGGAUGAAACUUAAAGGAAUUGGCGGGGGAGCACCGCAACGGGAGGAGCGUGCGGUUCAAUUGGAUUCAACGCCGAAAAACUCACCAGGAGCGACGGAUAUAUGAAGGUCAAGCCGAUGACUUUACCUGAUUUUCCGAGAGGUGGUGCAUGGCCGUCGUCAGUUCGUACCGUAAGGCGUUCUCUUAAGUGAGAUAACGAACGAGACCCUCACCAUUAAUUGCUAAUCCUUUCUCCGGAGGGGAUGCACAUUAAUGGGACCGCUGGCGCUAAGUCAGAGGAAGGAGAGGUCAACGGUAGGUCCGUAUGCCCCGAAUCUCCUGGGCAACACGCGCGCUACAAAGGACGGGACAAUGGGCUUCAACACCGAAAGGUGAAGACAAUCCUGAAACCCGUCCAUAGUUCGGAUUGGGGGCUGUAACUCGCCCCCAUGAAGCUGGAUUCCGUAGUAAUCGCUUGUCAACAUCAAGCGGUGAAUAUGCCCCUGCUCCUUGCACACACCGCCCGUCAAACCACCCGAGUUGGGUUUCAGUGAGGAUGUUUCUAAUUGGGGCUUUCGAACUGAGAUUCAGCAAGGAGGGUUAAGUCGUAACAAGGUAUCUGUAGGGGAACCUGCAGAUG